AUGAUGAUGUUUAGCAUUUUCGUUCAUUGUGCAAUAAGUAAUAGAAUCAAGAACCAAUAUAUUACGAGAUAUCAGCUCCUUCCAAUCGCAUCUUUAUUUGCAAAAUCCCUAAAAGUUCUCUUCCUCGGGGUAUGCAAACAUGUUGUGCAGGUAAUCACAUCCGCAAACACAUUUAUUGAGAACUCAUCACCCUCCGGUGUCCUCCCUGUAUUUAAAAAAAGUCAUGUAUAUGUGUUUCUUAGUACAAGAUGCCACAAUGCUCCAGCUUCCUGUUGCAUUUCACCAGUUUUUCAAUACAAAAUGCAACAUGUGUAA